rnacentral:sRNA from 1 species
UGAUAAAUAAUUAAUUGCACCUAAGAACC